rfam:Apaloderma vittatum contig7343, whole genome shotgun sequence.
GGCCAGUUAGCUCAGUCAGUUAGAGCGUGGUGCUGAUAACACCAAGGUCAUGAGUUCAAUCCCCGUUUGGUCC